UACGUAGGGUGCAAGCGUUGUCCGGAAUUAUUGGGCGUAAAGAGCUCGUAGGCGGUCUGUCGCGUCGGAUGUGAAAACCCAGGGCUCAACCUUGGGCCUGCAUUCGAUACGGGCAGACUAGAGUUCGGUAGGGGAGACUGGAAUUCCUGGUGUAGCGGUGAAAUGCGCAGAUAUCAGGAGGAACACCGGUGGCGAAGGCGGGUCUCUGGGCCGAAACUGACGCUGAGGAGCGAAAGCGUGGGGAGCAAACAGG
rnacentral:rRNA from 1 species